rnacentral:rRNA from 1 species
GUCGGAUUAGCUAGUUGGUGGGGUAAUGGCCUACCAAGGCGACGAUCCGUAGCUGGUCUGAGAGGAUGAUCAGCCACACUGGGACUGAGACACGGCCCAGACUCCUACGGGAGGCAGCAGUGGGGAAUAUUGGACAAUGGGCGCAAGCCUGAUCCAGCCAUGCCGCGUGAGUGAUGAAGGCCCUAGGGUUGUAAAGCUCUUCGGCCGGGGACGAUAAUGACGGUACCCGCAGAAGAAGCCCCGGCUAACUUCGUGCCAGCAGCCGCGGUAAUACGAAGGGGGCUAGCGUUGUUCGGAAUCACUGGGCGUAAAGCGCACGUAGGCGGAUCGUUAAGUCGGGGGUGAAAUCCCGAGGCUCAACCUCGGAACUGCCUUCGAUACUGGCGAUCUUCGAGUCCGGGAGAGGUGAGUGGAACUCCGAGUGUAGAGGUGAAAUUCGUAGAUAUUCGGAAGAACACCAGUGGCGAAGGCGGCUCACUGG